rfam:Myxococcales bacterium SG8_38_1 WOR_8-12_11588, whole genome shotgun sequence.
AUAGCUCAGUUGGUAGAGCAGUGGACUGAAAAUCCUCGUGUCCCUGGUUCGAUUCCAGGU